UUUUCCUUUUCUAGGGCCACUUCCCAUGGCAUAUGGAGGUUCUCAGGCUAGGGGUCUAACCGGAGCUGUUGCUGCCAGCUCAUGGCAACUCCGGAUCCUUAACCCACUGAGCAAGGCCAGGGAUCAAACCCACAACCUCAUGGUUCCUAGUCGGAUUUGUUUCUGCUGCACCAUAAGGGGAACUCCCUGGAUUGCAAUUUCUGAUCCCCAGAAUCAUUUCCCUCAAAGACACAAAUUCUAAACUUCCUGAAAAGAUUUCUCAGUUACAAAAGGUUCAAAACUUUUCUCUAUCACUCCCUCCUUCUUUUCAAGUCUGUCUUCCACUCCAGGAUGUCUCCUUUUUUCUUUCCCCCUUAACUUGCUAAACUCCCUUUUUAUCCCCAAGACCUGAGACCCCUCCUUGAUCCUCCACCCCCAACCUCUUCCAUUUGACCAGUUCAAACUCAUCCGUUUAAAUAGAAACCCAAAAAUGAAUGUAAUUUACACAUUUUUGGACUAAGGCAGAAUUGCCAGCUGUAGCCAAAAAAAAUUUCCCAAGGUUACUGAGGACGUCACUGUUUUGCAGAGGAAUUUAACACUGUCAUUAAAAUCUAUGAGUCUGGGUUUCCUGAUCUUUUAUCAAUUAGUCCACAAGCUCUUGGGAGAAGGUCAGGCACAACUCUGGAAGGCUAAAGCUGGCUGGAAUCAUCCUUUAGAGGUUCUUCAAUGGACCAUGCCAGGUGACAGAUGUUAUGUGGUGUCUCUUACAUGGAGAGCAAGUUCAAAACAGAAGACAUGAAAUCAGCCAUAUCAUCAAGAUUCCAUCCAAGCUCCAGACACGAUUUCAACUGACCAAACGAGUAGGAAACAGACUCCAACAUGGAUGAAGGCUCUAGGACCAAGAUAAUUUAAGGCGCUGUUAAGCCUCAAAAUAAAGCCAAAAGGACUGUUAAAAUUGACACUUAAUAACCUAAAUCCUCUUUCCCUGUUUCCCAAGCCCUCUUCCCCUUUCUCCUUGAGAAGACAUGACCUAUCACACGAAACCCUAACCAUAAAAAAGCCCUUGCCCCUAGAGCAGGGAGCCUGAGUUCUCUCUGCUCAGUGUACAUGGCUACUCUGUUGGUCUUUAAACCUGCUUGUGAUCUCACUGCACCAGACUCUGUUUCUCUCCACUCUGCCGUCCUAACAACAGACAGCUCUAAAGCCCAAGACAUAGCAAAAACUGUAUAUGAAGCCAGCCAUUGCUCAGACCUUCCCCAAACCCAUUCAUUGACUGGGACAAAUCCAGGCACACACUCAAGGACUGAUGAACUUGUGCGUGACCGUUACAACAGACUUGGAAUGGUUCUAAAGGAAAAUCCUGGACUCUCCAUAGAAGCAGAGUCCACUAAGGGAGUCUUUAAUUCCAUGUUCACAAGUGGCUGAGAAGAAAACCUCACAAUUCUAGUAAAGCGAGCCCAGUUCAAAUGGGAAGCCAUGGCAGCUCCUGAUUUGGUUAAUCUAGCAAACCAACUGGCCUGGACCAUUCAAAAUUCAAAUAAGCGAAAGGCCACUAAAAUAAUAAAUUUACUGUUUCGACAGCUAUCAGACUCCUCCCAGAGGCUUCAACAAACUAAAUCAAAGCCUUCAAACUCUAAAAAUGUCUGUCAUUUGUGUAAGAAGCCCGGUCAUUGGAAAAAGACUUGCCUUAAACUGAAAGAUGUUAAACAAUGCUCCCACGUUCAGCCUUCAGCUCCUCUCAGGGACUGAGCCUGCUCGGGACAAACAAGGGUUUUUUCCAGUCCUUCCCCUUAAUCAUCAGGGUAAAAAUUCCCUUAUCAUUGGAAAUGAGCUCCUUACUGUCUUAACUGACACGAGAGCCACACUUUGCUCAAUCCCUCCAACCUCAAACAAAUCCGUCCUCAGAGCACAGAGAUACUCAAAUGUUGAGAGUAUCUAGCAAACCUACGAUUUAUAAGUCUCUUCCCUUUUCUUUCCAGCUGGGCCCCCUCCAGGUCAAUCAUUCCUUCCUACUGGUCAGUCCUGCUCCUGCCGACUUCCUAGAAUGAGACUUUUAAGAGAAAUAUCAUGUUGUCUUCUCUUUUUCUCAAAAGUGGGAGAUUCAACCCCCUCAACAACUCAUGGGAUUCCAAACUCCUCAACCCUAUUAGCAGUUUUUGCCCUUAGGGUAAACUUACAAGAUAACAUACACUUAAAACUCCUCAACGAAGUCCCUGAGAAAUUCUGGGCAGACUACAUGCAACAUUCAUUCAGCUCCCCCAAGUGGAACUCAAAUCAACCCUGGUAAACCUCUCCUAAGCAAUAAACAAUCACCUUUAUUUAUUUUAUUUAUUUUGCUUUUUAGGGCCGCAUCUGAAGCAUAUGGAGGUUCCCAGGCUAGGGGUCUAAUCGGAGCUACAGCUGCCAGCCUACACCACAGCCACAGCAACGCAAGUUCUGAGCCGUGUCUGCGACCUACACCACAGCUCACAGCAACGCCGGAUCCUUAACCCACUGAGCGAGGCCAGGGAUCGAACCCACAUCCUCGUGGUUCCUGGUCAGAUUCAUUUCCGCUGUGCCACGACGGGAACUCUAAACAAUAACCUUUAAAUCCUGAGGACUUAGGAGGAAUUAAACCAAUUGCAGAGGAAUAUAAGUAAUGUAAUACAGUCCCUGUAUUACAUCCAUUCUCCCUAUUGAGGAACCAAGAGGGUGGAGAUUUGUCCAAGGUUGGAGGGCUAUUUAGAAUGCUGUUAUCCCUUAUCAUCUGGUCAUCCUUGACUCUUAUACCCUUUUAAUAGAAAUACCUAUAGAGGGUAAAUUUUUCACAAUAGACCUCUGUAGUACCUUUUCCAGCAUCCUCCUAGAUCCUGAAAGUCAAUUUUUAUUUGCAUUCAUGUGGGUAGGACAAUACAUCUGGCUAUACUGAAAGUCCUUCCUAUUUUUUACACAGAUGAUAAAAGCAGAUUUAGCAGAUGCCAUUUUUUUUGGGGGGGGUGCCUUUGGCCUGCAGAAGUUCCUGGGCCAGGGGUCAAAGCCCUGCCACAGCAGUGACAACGCCAGAUCCUUAAUCUGCUAGGCCACCAGGGAACUCCAAGCAGAUGUCAUUUUUUUUUCCACCAGGGUUUAUCUACCUGAGAAAUAAAAUAUUGCCUGCUAUAUCAGUAAACAAAAGAUAUCACAGUCAUUAGUGAUUGCUGCCACCUCCAAGGGUAAGCCCAGUGAGCCCUGAGGGAACUCAGGAAGGAAACAAAGCAUACCUGUCAUCUAGCAGCCAACAGACUGCAGCCACUUCCAACAGACAGACAAUGAGCCCUGAGGAAAUUCAGGAUGUGAAACACAGGAUACAGACCCCAGAUAGCUGAGAAGGAAUUCAGAAAUGAGAUGGAAAUUGAGAAAGAAAAGUGAGGAUUUAUUUAAGUGAGAAAUACACCUCUUAAAGAUAGGUGGGCAGAGAGGUGAGCAGAUGCCCUGUGUUUCUCUGGCAUGCUGGUUAUAAGGGGCAUCCAAUGGCAUGGGUGGCCUUGCUCAGUGGGUUGGGCGUUGCUGUGAGCUGUGGCGUAGUACUAAUGCUGACAUUUCAGUUUAUUGAUGCUUAUUUGGAAAAUGGCAAAGGAAAACAAUGUGCCAGGUAUGCAAUCACCUCCUCCUUUGAAGUAACUGAGGCAGCUCCACUGACCACUCCUACUUCCGCCCAGCACACCGAACUCCAUGCUUUAACUAGAGCUUGCACCCCAGCAGAAGGUAAAACUGUGAAUAUCUAUACAGAGCGUCACUUUGCAGCACUUCCUGACUUUGGCAGUUUGGAAACAAAGAGGAUUCUUGACUUCAGGAGGGAAACCAGAUGAAGAAGGAAAGUUAGGUCUGUGAGUCAUUGGAAUCAAUCAACUUCAUCUGUCCUAGUCAUCAUUCAGGUGCCUGAGCAUUCAAAAUUAAAUCCAGAUGAAACAAAGGAAGUAAUUCGUCUGAUCAGGCUGUAAGAACAGCUGUCCCAUGAACCACCCAACCUGAAAAGGUUAGAUUGAAUUUUGACUACAUUUUGAAAGAGGAUCUAAUAAAAAUGAUCAAAGAAGACCAAUCUAAAGCCAGUCUAAGACACUGCGUAAAGGCUCUAUUGGGCUGAUAAUGGUUGUAUUUUUAGCCCAUUAACUAAUUUAUAGUUAUGGCCCCAAAAAAAGACCUGUCCUACCAGAGUCCAUGUAAAGAUGGAAAUGACUCAUCAUUGAGCAGCUGAUCAAUGAAACAAUACUGCUGGGGAAAAUUUUUUUAAGGUCACCAAGGAGGCACAAUUAGCUUGUGCUGUACAUCCUUAAAAAACAAAAAACAGGGAAGGAGUUCCUGUUGUGGUGCAGCAGAAACAAAUCUGACUAGUAUCCAUGAGGAUGCAGGUUUGAUCCCUAGCCUCGCUCAGUGGGUGGGGGAUCUGGCACUGUUGUGGCUGUGGUGUAGGCCGGCAGCUGCAGCUCUGAUUCGACCCCUAGCCUGGGAACUUCCAUAUGUCUCAGGUGAGGCCCAAAAAACAAAAACAAAAACAAAAACAAACAAACAAACCAAAAAAACCCAAAAACCAAAACCGAAAAAAAAAAACCAACCAGGGAAAACCAUGCAAACUGCCCCUUGGACAUUUUGAUAGGCCUAAAGGGCCUUUUAAGAUAUGGCAAAUGGGUUUUAUUCACAUUGCCUCCUUCCCAAGGCUAUAAAUUUAUUCUUAUUAUGAUUUGCAUGUUUUCUCAUUGGAUUAAAGCAUCCCCUUGACAGCUAUUGCUUUAAGGCUUGCAAAAAUUCUGUUAGAAAAGCUUUUAUCUACAUGGGGGCUAUGCUCUCAGAACUGAAUAAUGAUCAGGGAAUUCAUUUUUACUGGCAUUUUUUUAAACACGUUUGUGAGGUCUGGCCUUUUCUAUAGCACUGUCACUGUCCUCAUGACCCUUAGUCCUUUGGUCUGGUGGAAAGAACAGAUGGAUUAUUAAGGCUCAAGUGGCAAAAUUUAUGCAGACCUUAAAAUUGGCUUGGCUUAAGACAUUUCCUUUGGUCCUUCUUUUUUUUGGUCUUUUUUAGGGCUAAACUCACGGGGGUCCCAGGCUAGGGGUCCCAGGCUAGGGGAGGUCCCAGGCUAGGGGUAUAAUGGGAGCUAUAGCUGCCAGCCUAUACCAGAGCCAAAGCAACUUGGGAUUUGAGCUGCAUCUGCAACCUACACCACAGCUCAUGGCAACACCGGAUGCUUAACCCACUGAGCGAGGCCAGUAUAUCUAUAUGAUCAGUGUCUUCACUUGGUUUUUUGUUGACACUGCACAGAACAUUUCUCUAAAGCCCUGCUCUAACAUUCCAACCUCCUGGACUCUCCCUCUUUUUCCUUCACCUAUGGCAUGAAGCAAAGGGCUGACCAAAAUUUUAAGAAAUUCAAUCUCACCCAUCUAUGUCAGGCUUUUUGUGGCACGGGGACCAGAUGGUUGUCACCUGGCCCCUUAAUGGGCUGUAAUGGCUCCAUCCACCCUUGGCUAGAACAUGUCCCUAAGCUCAUAACCUGUCAAUGCAAACGAAACACGAAUACCCACACUCUUGGUGGAGUCCACACUCUUCUGGGUACAUUCUUGCGUGUGAUGACAAGGGGGGACCAUGGGUUUACGAAUGUUUAGACAGCUGCCGUAGUGUGACAGGACCAUGCCUUUUAGGAUACUGUUCUCACUGAAGGAAAAAUCCAGCCAAAAUCUCAUCGGUCUGGAUGAGACUCAGUAGCCCCCUUUUUAUACCCCAUCUACCCUCCAAUAAUUAUCAUUGCAAAAAGGAUUUGUUCCUUGGAUUGGUGCUGUCCAUAACUGGCCUGUGGAACCAUGGCUACAUUAAUCAGCUCUACCAUUUGAGGCUUAGUUCAACACCAGUGAUCCCUGGACUCCCUAGUGAGGACUGUAUUAGGCAAUCAAACAGUGCUUUAUUAUCUCUUUGCAGAACAGGGCAGCCUCUGGGCCCUAGCUAGCAGCUCCUAUUGCACCUAGAUUAACACUUCUGGUAGAUCCGAACUCAAAAAAAAUUGGGAAAAUAGCACAAAACCUCUCUAUUUUUCUAUCAAUGUUUUCAGCUGGCUUUCUUUAGCUAUAGACGCUUAGAUAAGAUCAGGACUUCAACUUUUAGGAUUAUUAUUAGAAUUUUGCUAUGUGUGCUUAUAUUUAAACUUCUUAUGCUAUCCUUCUCUCAGAUCUGCUCCAGAACUUCUAUAAGCACCAAGACUGUGGCCUUUGAAUGGACUGAAAUGAUAGUAAGGCUUAUUCACUUGAACAUUCAGGUAAUUUGAUGAAAUUCCUAGAUGAUGAAAGUGCCUAAGAGUUAUUUCCUGAA
rnacentral:lncRNA from 1 species